UACGGGGGGAGCAAGCGUUGUUCGGAUUUACUGGGCGUAAAGGGCGCGUAGGCGGCCAGCACAAGUCAGUUGUGAAAUCUCCGAGCUUAACUCGGAAAGGUCAACUGAUACUGUGCGGCUAGAGUGCGGAAGGGGCAACUGGAAUUCUUGGUGUAGCGGUGAAAUGCGUAGAUAUCAAGAGGAACACCUGCGGCGAAGGCGGGUCUCUGGGCCGUAACUGACGCUGGGGAGCGAAAGCGUGGGGAGCGAACAGG
rnacentral:rRNA from 1 species